UAGGGAAUCUUCGGCAAUGGACGAAAGUCUGACCGAGCAACGCCGCGUGAGUGAAGAAGGUUUUCGGAUCGUAAAAACUCUGUUGUUAGAGAAGAACGUUGCAUAGAGUGGAAAAUUAUGCAAGUGACGGUAUCUAACCAGAAAGGGACGGCUAACUACGUGCCAGCAGCCGCGGUAAUACGUAGGUCCCCGAGCGUUGUCCGGAUUUAUUGGGCGUAAAGCGAGCGCAGGUGGUUUAAUAAGUCUGAUGUAAAAAGGCAGUGGCUCAACCAUUGUGUGCAUUGGAAACUGUUAGACUUGAGUGCAGUAGAGGAGAGUGGAAUUCCAUGUGUAGCGGUGAAAUGCGUAGAUAUAUGGAGGAACACCGGUGGCGAAAAGCGGCUCUCUGGACUGUCACUGACACUGAGGCUCGAAAAGCGUGGGGUAGCAAAAC
rnacentral:rRNA from 1 species